UCUACUCUUCAAUCCAUUUUGUAAGUCUUCGUGGAUGGACUGUUUGCACUACGCAAGCCAGUUUUUGUUAAAGUAAUUUUUGUAAUCGUAAAACUUUUGACUUUAAAUCCUCUGGAAGCCUUAUGUUUCACUCAUUCAGAUAAGUUACUUUACAUUUGUGAAUUUGCGAGCUGAUAAACGUUCGCUGUCUGACUUUUUAUACGAACUACUUUGGACAUUUACCUUUUUGUGCGUGAAAUGUGCUUGGAAAUGGAUACCAAAGUGGAAUGGGAAGUACUCAAACCGUGUUACUCCAGAAGAUCUGGCAAACUUUCAAAGUGCAGGCUGAGGAAAAUUCUCAAUUUAAGUUCCCGACAAGAAGGCCUGAAAAUGUGGCGCGCCAACAUUGUCAAAGCCACUCUCAAGAAAUACAUUCGCUGCGAGCAGAAAAGGAGGUUAGUUGCUAAACUGGUCAAGCAAGAACAAACUUUGUCCGAAAACUGCGAAAACAUUAUGCAUGAUGGGACGGAGACUGUCGACGGAAAUACACGGUCAAUAUGCUCAAUGGCACCUAAGAACACGACACAGUAUCUCAUGGAUAUCGUAUACGACGACAUGCUAAACGACACCAGUUCCAGCCAGAAGUUGAGCCCCGAUUCGCUCGAGAUCUGCGUGCCAAGUAAAUCUCUUUCACGCAUGACCACGUGUGACUCAUUGGACUGUGGGUAUGAAAAUUCUCUUGAAUUCCAACAGAGGGACUUCGAAGAAAUAUACCUCCAUCUUGGGUCUUGUUGAUCUGGAGUAAACCGGUUCUGGUUUGGCCGGGUUUUUCUGACCGAAGACCAAAGUAUUGACUUUAAAACCACAAACUAAGCGACGCAACGGACGCCGCCCAUCAGUAGGGGGCGCUCUCGGUCGCAGCGUCGCUUCCUGUGGUGGCCAGACUACCUAUGCCUCCACUAAGGUAUCACAGGUAAACCUGAUUCUCCUACAGGUAUAUGUGGCCGGUAGCACUUGAGUUCACCAGUAAGCUUCCGGUUUGCAAUUUCACUGCGUUUCUAUGACUUUGCUACAAGUAAAGUAUCUUGAACGUGGAGUAAUUGCUGCCGGCGUAGUUUACGCAGUGCCCAGAUAUGUUCAAAGCUGUCAGUGCUGCAUUUACUGUUGUGCAAGCCUUUUUCAGAUCAGGUUCUUCCUCCUACCUGCCUGCAAUCAGCGUGGCUGUUGCCAGAACGAUGGACUCGUGCGGAUGACCAUGGAAGUAAGGUGACAUACGAUUUUGUUACCAAAAGCGUCAGUUUUAGCAGUUCGUUGGUUACCGGAAGACGCGUGUUAGUCAUUGCAAAGUAGACAUACACGGUUUAAACAAACCAGGGUGCAUUUAAACAUGAACUGAGUGUCAUUGUCUGGACAUUUGAGGAAGCCUUUUGUAUUAAAUGCUCUUGUAAAUUAAACAAUCAUGUGAUCUAA